AGUGAACGCUGGCGGUAGGCCUAACACAUGCAAGUCGAACGGCAGCACAGGAGAGCUUGCUCUCUGGGUGGCGAGUGGCGGACGGGUGAGGAAUACAUCGGAAUCUACUCUGUCGUGGGGGAUAACGUAGGGAAACUUACGCUAAUACCGCAUACGACCUACGGGUGAAAGCAGGGGACCUUCGGGCCUUGCGCGAUUGAAUGAGCCGAUGUCGGAUUAGCUAGUUGGCGGGGUAAAGGCCCACCAAGGCGACGAUCCGUAGCUGGUCUGAGAGGAUGAUCAGCCACACUGGAACUGAGCCACGGUCCAGACUCCUACGGUAGGCAGCAGUUGGGAAUAUUGGACAAUGGGCGCGAGCCUGAUCCAGCCAUACCGCGUGGGUGAAGAAGGCCUUCGGGUUGUAAAGCCCUUUUGUUGGGAAAGAAAUCCAGCUGGCUAAUACCCGGUUGGGAUGACGGUACCCAAAGAAUAAGCACCGGCUAACUUCGUGCCAGCCGCCGCCGUAA
rnacentral:rRNA from 1 species